UAAAUGAUGGUUGGGUGACCUCCGUGCAACUUCAGGGACUGCCUCCCUCGGGAAGGUGACCGGGAUGGGGAGCCGGGAGGGAAUGAGGCAUAGAGGACAGGAGGAGAGACACCCGGGACCACGGCAGCAGCAAUCACCAGAAGGAUUUUCCAGCUCACGACAGCAGUCCUCAACUCCUGACACCACCCUCUCCCCCAACGACCCCUUCCCCAUCGCCCCUCCCCCGCCAGAAGCCCGGAGGACUCACCCCAACCCCUGUCAGUCCAGUGCCCUAACUCUGCCCUCACUCUUUGCCACUUUCCCAAGCCUGAAGUCUCUAUCCAGGGAGGGGGAUGGGAGAGGUGUUUAAAGAACAGAUCUCACUGACAUUAGAAUUCAUCUGUGUCUCCGGCACACGCACGCUGACAGUUUUGCAGUCAUGGCAAGGCAGGUCUACAAGAGAUGGACGGUACUUAUGGUUGUGUUAUUGAGGGAGGGGUUGCUUUUUUUUUUUUUUUUCCAAGAGACUCUAAACAAGUGAAGGGGGAAGGAGGUAGCAAUAGCGAUUUCCACCAGGACUGCAAAUCAAGAAAUGCCCCAGAUGCCAAUGUCUGUCUCCAGAUGUUGAUGAUAAGGAUUUGGACCAGUUACCUUGGCAGGGUCAGAACUGCAGCAGCUUAACCAGGUGAGUCGUCGGGGAUUUUAAAGAAGCCGAAGCCGGUUUCUUCGGCUACGAAAGUCUACAGAACCCCCAUGCAGGAACAUUGCACAUCUUACACACGCCUCCUUUAACUGGGCUCCCGCGACCUCAGCAGGCGAGGGGGUGCUGGCCGGCCCGCCGGUGGCAAGGGCACGGCCACCCGCUCUGCCCCCGCGGGCGCGGGGCCGGCCUGGCCCCCGGGGUCCGCGUCGCGAGCGGCUGUGCACUCACCGAGCCGGGCUGCGAGGGGCAGAGGGGCGCCCGCGGCUAGCCGGAGCGCCGAGGCGCCUCCCUUUUCUCUUGGUAGCGUCGGUCCGCACUCCCUGUGACCCAGGACGUCAUGAUGCCUGUCUGUUUUCUCAAUGAUAACUUGGCAGAAGAAGACAGAGGCUGCCAGGUUCUCCUCGGGUGGUUACUUGAUCUUAUUUGAUAUGAAUGCAUUUUUUUGCCUGGAUGCCUUAAUCUCCUGGUUAGCUUGAAUUAAAUCAUGAAGUUAGUUAAAGAGCACAGGUUUACAGUGAAGAGACUCAGGGAUUAGAACCAGAGCAGGAUCACCUACAUAUUUCUUCAUUGCAACUAACUCUGGGAAAGCCUUUCUCCACGUUCCUUUCCUUAUUUAUCUCUAUUGAAUACUUAUAACUCCUUGACCCUCUCCGGUUUUUGUUAGGAUAAAAUGAAAUAGCAGAAGAGAAAGCACUCUUCCAACAUAACAAAAUAUUAUCAUGGCAGAUGGACCAUAUUUUACACCAGAGUUGAUUUUCUAAAAAAUUUUACAAAGUUAAUAGAAACUAAGGUCCCCUAGCUGAGAAUCUCAGUUAACUUCUAUUUACUACUUAUAGGACUUCACAAAGGUCUAUAGCUAGCUGAAGGAAGAAUCAGGAUGAUUGUGCAGAAAUCACUUUGUCCCAGGCCACACUCAAGGCCUGGUACACACCGUGGGAAAAUAGUACAGCCAAUUGCAACAACCAGGACCAGGGUAAUUAGGAUACCUAUUUAAAAUAAAUUUAUACCAUGCGUCUCUCAUGAAAAAAAUAAAAACGUUUGCAUGAGGCAAGGGCGCUCAAGCCAGACUGCAUGAUAGCUCUAGUCUAGGGAUCCAUGGACCGAUUAAGUCUUAAGGUUGUAGGCAAAGUAUGUGUAUGGGUGUGUGGGUGCACAAGUGCGCGGGCAAGCAUGCCUGCAAGUGACGCCAUUAUUCUCAAGAAAAGGCGGAUAACUUUCAUCACAUUCUGAGGAGGGAUCAUGACUCCGGAAAGGUUAAGAACCACUGAGGGCUUUCUGGAGUUCUUCAUUUCAAGGCUCUGUUUUUCAUUCGAGAUAGUGCAUUCGCUGCCUGGGUUCAGAAGGGAGUAAGACUCUUCUUUGGCAACCAGGUUCAAGUGGAAAAAUCAUCAAGAUGUCACCUGAUGCCGCAUGUUACAACUAUGUUCUCAGCUAUGUGACCCUGCCAGUUGCUGAACCAGCAGAGGUAACUCAGCGUCAUGGAAAGAACACUUAAACUUGGAGUCAGAACACUUGAUUGGGAGUCUAAUUUCUGCCUCUUACUGCUGUUGUGAUCCUGGGAAAGUCAUUCAACUGCUUCCACCCUGGAUUUCCUCCUUGGCAACUGCCCUCGGGGAAUGAUCCCUCCGGCACUGGUGUCCUCGUGACUACCAGUUGGGUAGAGUGAGGAAACCCAACCACAUGCUUCAAAAUUCCCCUCCUGGAUGAACUUUUCUAGGAUGUCCUCUCCCACUCUCCUCUCUGUGACAGCCCAGUGGGCCCCACCACCCCUCUUCCCCACCUCCAUCAACACACUUCCAUGACUAUACUCACCUUACUUGAAUUAUUGUUCAUAUGUCUGCCUUUGCUGCUCAGUAACUGCCUUCAGUGUAACAGAGAUUUUAGUUAUCUUUUACUCCUAGUGCCUAACACACAGUAGGUGCUCCACGAAUGUUAAAUGAAUAAACUGUUAUCAGGGGAGAGCAUGUGCCGACAUCUGUUCCUAUUCCAUGAAAAUUCUUUAGAUAAUCUGAGAAGUGGAAAAGCAGGGCCAGCCUUACCCAUAGGCCAUAAACUGUACUAUACCAGUGCUUUGCUCAGAAGGGGCCUCUCUCUGGUAAAACUCCUGCAUAUACUGCUUAUUAUGCUACUUUUAUGAAUACAAUUAUUAUAAGGGAAUAAACUAGGCCAUUUCCUGGUCAUAUUUAAACAUAAAAUGCAAAACUGCGCUUCCCUCCAAAAAACAUAUCAACACUGACUUUGACGCUAACACAUAAAUGCUGGGUACCAGAUUUUUCCAGAGAGCUAAGGUGAAGGAAGAUAAAGAGGGUGGGAGACAGCCCUGGGGACAGGAAGGAGGGCUGAAUGGCUAUCACAGAGUGGCGGAAACAACCCAGAACACAGAACCGAAGGUCCUGUCUCAAAUUCCUGGAGAAUGAUCUUAAGCUCUCUGUGAUCAGUUACUGUGUCUUUAAAAUGGAAUCAUAAUGUUUCAGUAACACAGUGACCAAGGGGAUUGAAUGACAUAAUGUAUAAAAGGCCCUGAUGCCCUGUCAAAACAGGUGCCUGAUAAAAGUAAAUUUUCCUCCCUCCCUUUCUUCCUCCCUGUCUGUUUACCCUUCCAGAAGAAAAAGGAACCAAAUUCACUGAUUCACAACCAUGAUCAACUUGUGACCUUUAUUCUUGCCCAGGCUACUAAAAAAGAAUCACAAGGGUUAACUUAUACCAGUAGUCUCCAAACUUUGGGGCACACUGGAAUCACGCUGGAGCUUUAAACAAUCUUGAUUCUCAAUUUGUACCCCACAGCAAUUACAUCAGUACGUCUGAGGGUUGGAGUCAGGUAAUGGUAUAUAUUUUUUAAACCCUAAGUGAUCCCAGCAGACACCAAUGUUUGGGAACCACCAGCUAAUGCAGAGAAGUGGGCCUUUGGCCAGUGAGUUAGUCUAAUUGGAGCCUGAUGCUAAUAAGGCACAAGUUUGGAUUCGGGUCCAGGAGAGCAGCUCUUUACUCCUCCACAGACCCAGGAUUCUUGCUCCUUCUCCUUCAACCCUCUUUGGCAAGCUCUUUAUAAAAGAACCCUAGACAGGGUAGUAACAGGAGACCGACUCAUCCCAAGUACCAAAAAAGCAAAUAGAAAAGCACAUAAGACACCUGUAUUUGUAGUACUUUACAAUUUAGAAAGUGCUUUAACCCCUGAUUUUAUUUAAUCUUCAACUUUGCACAGUUGGUAUUAUCAUGCCCAAUUUACGGAUGAUGAAACCAAAACCAAGAGAAGUUCGACUCGCUCAGGGAAAAGUGGCAGAUUCAGGUCUCAUACUUAUUCCAGAAUGGAUGCAAUUUUCCUGGACCAUGCAGCUCCAGAAACCUUACUGGUUGGCGGGGUCAUAUCCACAUUGGAAGGAUGGCUCAGAGCUAUGGUCUAGCCACUCUGCCAUGUUAGGAAAGGAGGCAAGAAGGGAGGGAGGGAAAGAAGGAGGGAGGAAGAAAAAUAUUUUAAAUAUGUUUGAAUUAAAUAGGUUUCUCUCCAGCAGGCUUUUCAAAUUAUUUAAUAUGCUAACAAGCAAGCACUGUAAAUAUCUAGAAAUUAUUAUUUCCCAACUUAUUGGACAGUGAAACCCUUUUUAAACUCAGCAUUUCUUAGGACUAAUGUCCCAUGGGGUGCCAUUAAUAGCUGCUUUCCUCACCUCCCCCAACAUUUGCUGAGUGUCACCCCUUCAGAGAGGAUGCUCCCCGCCCCCACCAAACCCCUUAUUUAAAACAGAAACACCACCUUCUUCUCCCCAGCCCAGUCCUCCCCACCUGCUUUCCUGUUUUGUUUUUCCCAUAAUCCUUAACACCUUCCAAAAUAGCUCACAGGUUUACUUCUUUAUUUUGUCUACAAUCUACCUCACUCUGUCUAUAUGCUCUAAUGAGGGCAGGGCUUUUUCUGGCUAUUUUUUUCCCACCGUGAUUUCACUAGCACCUAGAAGCGUACCUGGCCCAGAGUAGGUAUUCAACAAGUAUGUGUUAAAGAAAUGAAGGAGGAAAAAAAAAAGGAAUGAAGGAAGGGCCAAAGAGAAAGGCUCUGAGGAAGAAACUCAAAUAAAGGUAUCUUCUCCUUAGGGUCCCUUUACAGAUAUCUUUUCUGAUUGUAGUUAUUCCUAGAAUGCAAUCGAAUGGGGUGGAUAUGAUCCCUACCUUAC